AACGCACAUGGCGCCUUCCAGUAUCCUGGGAGGCAUGCCUGUCCGAGCGUCGUUUCAACCCUCGAGCCCCAGUGGCCCGGUGUUGGGGAUCUACUUCUGUAGGCCCUUAAAAUCAGUGGCGGACCCGCGUGGCCCUUCCUUGCGUAGUAAUUUUCGCUCGCAUCGGAGUCCCGUAGGCACCAGCCUCUAAACCCCCUACAAGCCCGUCUCGUACGGCAACGGUUGACCUCGGAUCAGGUAGGAAUACCCGCUGAACUUAA
rnacentral:misc_RNA from 1 species